GUUUGCGAGCGGUGUCCGGCAGCAACGUUACUAGACCUCCAGCAGUGCGUGCAAAGGUCGUGCUAAAUUGCAAAAUAAUUAAUGAAAUGCUUUUGCUCUCCUAGCUUCCCAUUGUUAGGCAUUAGAGAGAAUUUGCUUGUAUUUCUGCGGCAUAGUGCGUGCAUCUACUCAUAACGCACAAUGUACGAUCAAUGCACGAGAGCUUUGAAUGUGCAAGAGAUGUCCAAAUCAUAAGGGCAUUCGAUGUCCUCUGGAUGACCCUUGACUGCCACGUACCAGUCGAACAUACUAUAGAUGUAAACUGGACGUCGUUAAAUAUCUUGGAUAUUUGGUCUUUUGUGGUACAUCCAAUGGAUAUUUGUGGUUCACUGGGUCAGCUCCUUAUCAGAGCCGUGCCUUACUUUCCCUUUGCGUGAACAAGCGGUGAAGAAGGCGGAAUUGCGAUGCCAGCUAUCGUCACCGACAGAUCUGGCCGCGCGCGACAGAUCUGACCGCACCAGGGGGCGCGCUGAAGUUACCGCGAGUAUAGGGACUUUAGCCGCGAGUAGAAACAGCGCUUGCAUGUAGGCUCCCUAACCGCGAGUAAAGCUUCCAGGAGCUUUAACCGCGAGCGUUUCAAAGGGCCGUGCUCAUGGUUCUCUUCCCAAGUUCUAUCGAGUCUACAUAGUGUGUGCACCGCUCGUGGCUCUUUUGGUAACGUUCAAGCCUUGACCAGCGCCUGAAGAUACGGUGCAGUUCCUUACAACUGCUGAGGAUCUUUUGAAGAGUGAAGCAGGUCAUGAAUUGCAAUUUUCUUACAUUCUUGUCACCCAUAUAUCAUUAAGCAAUUUUAUUCUUUCACGGAACCACAAGGCCUGCUGGCUUCCAUUGUUUUUGUCUAGUUAAGAGCAAACUUCUGGGGGCCGCCAGUGGUAUCCAAGAGGGAAGGGACCUGGAUUGCUGUGGUUACUGCAGCUACGUCUUAUUUUAUGUGGUCACCUUUUCUACUGUAUUUAAAAAUGUAAAAUCAUUCUGCAUGUCCUUUAAUUUAUUAGUCAAUAA